AGUCUCCAACUCCAUUCUUUUUUCUUCUCUCAGUCUCAGAUUCUCUUUGUGGAUCAUCGGCAUCACCAGAAGCAAACCAAUAACGGAAGAUUGAAGAACAGAACCCAGCUAUCUUCUUUUACCCAGUUGGUAAAUAAAUCAUUCUUUACCUCUCAAACUGCAUCCACAUUACAGUCAUUGCCAGAAUCUUCUCCUACUUACAGGGUUUGUCAAGAUUGAAGAACUGAAGUUCAGUUCAUUGGAG